UGGGGAAUUUUGGACAAUGGGCGCAAGCCUGAUCCAGCCAUGCCGCGUGCAGGAUGAAGGCCUUCGGGUUGUAAACUGCUUUUGUACGGAACGAAAAGGUGCCUUCUAAUAAAGGGCGCUCAUGACGGUACCGUAAGAAUAAGCACCGGCUAACUACGUGCCAGCAGCCGCGGUAAUACGUAGGGUGCGAGCGUUAAUCGGAAUUACUGGGCGUAAAGCGUGCGCAGGCGGUUUUGUAAGACAGAGGUGAAAUCCCCGGGCUCAACUUGGGAACUGCCUUUGUGACUGCAAGGCUGGAGUGCGGCAGAGGGGGAUGGAAUUCCACGUGUAGCAGUGAAAUGCGUGGAGAUGUGGAGGAACACCGAUGGCGAAGGCAGCCCCCUGGGCCUGUACUGACGCUCAUGCACGAAAGCGUGGGGAGCAAACA
rnacentral:rRNA from 1 species